GGCUUCACAGGGUCUCCCUGGGUCACCAAGGCCAUCAGCAGCAUCAGAAGGCCUUUCCUGGGGGAGCCCAAGGUCAUGGUCCCUCUGGGCCCGCUCUGCGGGUGGCGGGGCGCUAGCCUUCGGCGGACCGGGGCCACCUCCCCUCCACCGCGCGGCCGCAGUUGCACCGCCAGCGCUGGACGGCGGGCUGGGGUCCGGGCGCGGCCCCGGACCGGGCUGGAGCCGGGGAGGGGCUCGCUCGGCGCAGCUGGCGCGGCAGCCUCCCGGGACUGGGAUGGGGG
rnacentral:lncRNA from 1 species